GACGAACGCUGGCGGCGUGCUUAACACAUGCAAGUCGAACGAUGAACCCGGAGCUUGCUCCGGUGGAUUAGUGGCGAACGGGUGAGUAACACGUGAGUAACCUGCCCUUGACUCUGGGAUAACUGCGGGAAACUGUAGCUAAUACCGGAUACGACCCUCGGCGGCAUCGCCAGGGGGUGGAAAGAAUUUCGGUCAAGGAUGGACUCGCGGCCUAUCAGCUAGUUGGUGAGGUAACGGCUCACCAAGGCGACGACGGGUAGCCGGCCUGAGAGGGUGACCGGCCACACUGGGACUGAGACACGGCCCAGACUCCUACGGGAGGCAGCAGUGGGGAAUAUUGCACAAUGGGCGCAAGCCUGAUGCAGCAACGCCGCGUGCGGGAUGACGGCCUUCGGGUUGUAAACCGCUUUUAGUAAGGAAGAAGGGGAGCUUGCUCCUUGACGGUACUUGCAGAAAAAGGACCGGCUAACUACGUGCCAGCCGCCGCAGUAA
rnacentral:rRNA from 1 species